UCCGGCUUGUCACCGGGAGUCUUGUUAGAGUGCCCAACUGAAUGAUGGCAACUAACAACAGGGGUUGCGCUCGUUGCCGGACUUAACCGAACAUCCCACGACACGAGCUGACGACAGCCAUGCAGCACCUGUCACCAGGCUUCCCCGUGAGGGGACACCACCUACUUUCAUAGGUGUUCCUGGGAUGUCAAGGCCAGGUAAGGUUUUUCGCGUUGCAUCGAAUUAAUCCACAUAAUCCACCGCUUGUGCGGGUCCCCGUCAAUUCCUUUGAGUUUUAGCCUUGCGGCCGUACUCCCCAGGCGGAGUGCUUAAUGCGUUAGCUGCGGCACAGAGAGGGUUGAAGACCUCCCCACACCUAGCACUCAACGUUUACGGCUGGGACUAC
rnacentral:misc_RNA from 1 species